rnacentral:rRNA from 1 species
GACAGAGGGUGCAAACGUUGUUCGGAAUUACUGGGCGCAAAGCGCGUGUAGGCGGUCUCGCAAGUCGGAUGUGAAAGCCCAGGGCUCAACCCUGGAAGUGCACUCGAUACUGCGAGGCUAGAGUCCCGGAGAGGAUGGUGGAACUCUCGGUGUAGAGGUGAAAUUCGUAGAUAUCGAGAAGAACACCGGUGGCGAAGGCGGCCAUCUGGACGGUGACUGACGCUGAGACGCGAAAGCGUGGGGAGCAAACAGG